AAUCAUUCCUAGUUUCUUAUAAAAUAUUAUUUCUUUCAAUUGUUUAUUAUUUUACUGAUGCAUACUUUCUGCAAUCUUAUAUAUGUUCUAAAUUACUUAAUUGACGAUCAAACAAUAGCUGAUGAUUUAUUGGUUCUUCUAUGUAUCUUUUUCAACUUUUAUAACAUAAUUUAUAACAUAUAUCCUGUUAGAAAUCAAAUUAUCAGAGAAACUUAAAUCUGAACAAUUAAAAUCAAUCUGUAUAGCAAUAGCAAAUCUAUGUAUCAUUUGCCCAAUCAGCAUAGCAAUAGCCCAUAAUAUCAAGGUUGUUAGUCUUCCUUAGCACAAUUCCCAUAGUUUGAGUAUCUGAAAGAUAUCUCAUAUCUCAGUACUCUCUUCAUGGC
rnacentral:lncRNA from 1 species